GCCAGCAGCUAUUUCACCCUGCAGCUGAGCAGGUGUGAGCCUGGUCAGUACCUGGAUGGGAGACCUCAUGGGAAAAACUAAGGUUGCUGCUGGAA
rnacentral:rRNA from 1 species